rnacentral:rRNA from 1 species
AGUGAACGCUGGCGGUAGGCCUAACACAUGCAAGUCGAACGGCAGCACAGUAAGAGCUUGCUCUUACGGGUGGCGAGUGGCGGACGGGUGAGGAAUACAUCGGAAUCUACUUUUUCGUGGGGGAUAACGUAGGGAAACUUACGCUAAUACCGCAUACGACCUACGGGUGAAAGCAGGGGAUCUUCGGACCUUGCGCGAUUGAAUGAGCCGAUGUCGGAUUAGCUAGUUGGCGGGGUAAAGGCCCACCAAGGCGACGAUCCGUAGCUGAUCUGAGAGGAUGAUCAGCCACACUGGGACUGAGACACGGUCCAGACUCCUACGGGAGGCAGCAGUGGGGAAUAUUGGACAAUGGGCGCAAGCCUGAUCCAGCCAUACCGCGUGGGUGAAGAAGGCCUUCGGGUUGUAAAGCCCUUUUGUUGGGAAAGAAAAGCAGCAGGUUAAUACCCCGCUGUUCUGACGGUACCCAAAGAAUAAGCACCGGCUAACUUCGUG